GAACUCACUGCGCACGCGCCGGUCGGCUGGCCGCACCCACGCGGCGCAGCUCCCAAAGUUGCAGACAGCCCGGCGAACCGCGCAAUGCGCUUCUUCUGCCUGCAGCAGAGAAAAGGAAAGAAAACUCCGCAGGGGCUCCGUUGGCUUCUCCACGAGUGACAACCAUGUUUUCCCAGAUAGAAGACCGGAGCCCUGCUCCUUUGCGAUCCGCCGAGGGCUGCAGAGAGCAUCCUCAUCCAUUUGGGCACCCCUGCCCAGGAAGAGCCCGGCCAUCCCUUUCCGGACUGGAUCCUUAAGAGGUGAAUUUUCUUCCGUGGAUUCCGAUUUGCUCCGUCUGACCAGCCUAGGCAAUCCAGCAUCGCGUGGUACCAGUGCCGCUGGGCACACUGGCUUCACGCCGGCUCCGCCUCACCAGCAAGCGCAUUCCCAGGUGGUCAGGCUCAGGAUGGACCAUGAGCUUUCAAAAAGGAAAAAGGUGGAAAUCCUCAACUAUGCUGCCAUCUGAAUAAGUGUUUCUUUGUAGAUGCACAGAGUCAAGGAAAAUUACAUCCCUGCAUUAUGUAAUGUACCAACAACGCACUUACCCACUGUUUUAAUCUAGGUUAUUCUUGAAAGCAGAGCCUGAGACAAAGGUAGACACAUUCUAUUUAUGAGUCUAACACCCAGGAGCAGGAAUGAGAGAUAGGGGAGUGAACUGGGGAAAAGGGAAACUAAGUCCGAGCAAAACCAGAUACUGCUCUUAUCAAGUGGUCCACCCCUAUUAAUGGCUACAUAAUGCAGAACUUUCUCAGGAUUCUUCUUAAACUUUAUCUCAGAACUGUCUGCCUCAGGGAGAAAGGAGAAGUAUUUCUCCAUCAGCAGCCACCUCCUGUGUGUUGAGGGCUGCUCCUUUGGGGCAUUAACCCACUGCCUCCACCACCCCAACCCUCUGGGCUGCAAAGAGCUAGCUGACAGUCCAGCUGGUACCUUAGCAUCACACAUUGCUGCAUCAGAGAGGUCUUAAGACAGGAAGCUAGAGUCUUGGUGCAUGCUCGAAGUGAGACGGUGUCAGCACAGAGCAGGGUAAAAUCUUCCCGUUAACUCUUCACCAGAGCUAUGACUGGAAUCAGAGGUUGAAAAGAUGUGAGACUGUACCCAAGAAGCAUCUUAUAAGCCUACGUAAUAUACUGUUAGACUCAUCGAAAUCUAUUUCCUCCCUUCUUUAUAAUCAAAACUUCAGUGUCCAGAAUAAAGUUGGCAGAAGGGUUAAAUUGGAAAGUUAAAUGUACUAGAAGGUGUACAUUUAUAAGUUUUGACCUUGAGUCGUGUUCAAGGAGAAAGUGACAUUGGAACUUGGAAAAUUUAAAAAUGAUUCUACUUGAAAAAUUUGACCAUUGCAUAGAAAUAUUAGCUAUCGUCUAAUCUUUUGUAAUCUUAGAAACAAUCGUGAAUUGUUUGGUGAAAAAUGAAAAAAUAACCAUUUCUUAUGUCUCCGUGACCUUUAUAGACCAAUGUCACCAACUUUUCCUAAGGUAAUUGUUUCCUACUGUCAAAUAGCUCUAGUGAUAUAAAUCUUAACAAUCAAUGAAGGGAAAACUGGUGGAAACAUAGGAGGAAAAAUACUGGGAUAAUUUUCAUCACAAAGUAUUGGCAUUAACAUUGGUUAGAAUAGGGGAGAAACUGCAUGACUUGACAACUGGACAUUCCUGUAUGUUGUAUGAGGCCCUGUCUUAACAGAAAUAGUGAUGUCAUCAUCAUCCUCUCUUAUUUGGUCUUGAAUUGCCACCAAUCGGAUAAAACCUUUGAAUUAUUUAACUCAAUAUAUGUUAAGUUUCUACUAUGUGCUGUGUAUUGGUACUAUAAAUAUGAAUAAGACAUAAGAUAUUACAUUCAAAAACAUCAGAAUACAUGUUCUUUUAAAGUAUACCCCAAAACAUUUACCAUGUGUUCUGGGGCGCAUGUUAGGCUGGAUCACAAAUCAAGUCUCAAGAAUUUCAAAAGAUUGAAAUCAUAUAGAGUAUGAAUUAAACCAGAAAUCAAGUACAUAAAGGUAACAAAAAAUUUCCAAAAUGCAUUAAUUUAAGGAACAUACACCUCAUGACCCAUGAGCCAAAAAAUAAAUCACGGCAAAAUUGCAAAAAUAUUUUGAAAUGAAUUUUAAAGAAAAUACUUAGCAUAUUAAAUACUUAGCAUAUUAAAGCUCUAAGUACAUAUGUUAGAAAUUUUACCGAAAGGUUGGCUAUCAGUGUUUCCAGAAGCCAGGGAAAAAGUUUAUACAAUUUGAUCGCUGAGGCAGGGAAACAAAGUGAGACCUCCGAUCGCCCUGCCUUUCUGAGGUGAGCACUCUGGAUCCCAUCGCAGGAGAUCAGAGUCUUGCUGAGUUGAGGAGAGGAAGAUUGGAGUUGAUACUGAGAUAGCUUGAAUUUUCAGGACAAAGUAUCAACAAGGAGGAAGGUAGACAAAAAAAUCCAGAAAUCUAUGUAGAGACCCCAUUGUGUACAUUGCGGAACACUAAGCCUAACAAUUCUCAAAAUUAGCGUGAGAUUGGGAAAUAUCUAAUUUCCAUCCAGCCACAGUGGAGAGUCCUGACUGAAAACCAGGCAUUCGCUAAAGAUCCCAGAAAGGUUGUGUGUUACAUACGUAGGGCUAAACUAUCCUGACUAAAAACUACACUACACUUGCUCCUCACCCCCACAAAAAGCUUAAAAACAAGCCUCAAUAGUAUAAAGCUGAUCUGUAAGUAACUAAACUACCUGCAGAACAAAGUCCAAAUUUAUUAGUUCCAGUACUCCAAAAAAAACACAUGUAAAAAAAAAAUAGAUUUACAAGACAUUUAUUUGGGGAAAAAAAGAAUGCCUGAGGGUUGAAAUGGAGAGGAAGCCAGAGAGACAGAGUCCUCAGAAUACAUAAAAUUUCUGGCCUCCAUGGAGGUGUGAUGGUUAAUUUUAUGCAUGUCAACUUCGCUGGGCCACAGGAUGCCCCAUAUAUGAUCGAACAUUAUUUCUGGUUGUGUUCAUGAAGCUUUUUCUGGAGGAAAUUCGCAUUUGAAUUGAUGGACUGAAUAAAGCAGAUUGCAGUCCCCAGUGUGGAUGGGCUUGAUCCAGUCUUCUAAGGACCCAAAUAAAAUAGGUGGAGGAAGCUUGAAUUUUCUGCCUGACUGUGGCGCUGGGACACCCAUCUUCUCCUGCCCUUGAACUGGGACUGACACCAUCAGUGCUCCUGGUUCUCAGACCUUCGGACAGCAGACUUGGGGCCUUCUCGGCCUCCAUUAUUGUAGGAGAAAAUGAGACACUGAGUGGGACUCAGGGAUUGCUCCAGGCCACACAGUCAGCAGGAGGCAAAGCCCAGAUUCAAAUGCAGAUUACUCAGCUCCACAAUCCACAUCCUCACAGGAGGCUGCACUCCUUGCCCAAGCGUCAGACAGGAGCAAAGAGAAAGAAGGCAACCAGCUGGCUACUUUCUUCCCUUCUUGGAUGCCUCCAACAGGAUAAAACACUAACUCAGAGAAGAAAUUUAACUGCAAAUUUGGUUAAUGACCAUGGAUUCCUAAUGAGAAGAAAAGCUAGACACUGAGAGUUUAGAAUAAACUCAAGAAUCUUAAAAAUUUUCCCAUGGAACUGCCUUUGCACCUCUAUAAAAAAUUAAUUGACCAUAUGAACCGCCUGAAGUCUGCAUCAUGACUUGAUGGUUACCCAGGGGUUUAUGUGUGUCCAACUGAACACCGUGGUUCUGGGAUUGAGGAUCCGCACAAACACAGGCAGGAGUUUGGAGGGAAGAAGGGGGCACAGCAGGAGUGUAUCUCAAGCCCACCUCAAAGGCAGCAGAGCAUUCCAAGUUGCUGAAAACCUGUGCAAAUGGGGCCUCUAAAACAAACAUUGUACUGUGAGCUCUCGGGGAAGGGGCAGGAAAAGGAUGUUGAUAAUUAAGGGGGCAUUUUCUUGAGGCGGCAGAUGAGGAGGGAGGCUUACUAUUUUUAAUCCCCUCAGCCCCAGGACAUGAUAAUCAGAGGAGAUCAUGUCCAAUCUUGAAUCAAUUCCCUGUUCAAAAAGAGGUGCUAAUACCCCAGGGACCAGACUCUGAAAAUACCAUGAAAAUACUCUGAAAAUACCGUGCUGGUCAUUCCUGAGUCCCUGUUCUAUGCCCUACAACAUAUUAGAAGGGCAAGGGAAGGUCAGAGGGUAGUGGCUUGUGUUCUGUGGAAGUAAAACACCUUAGUUCAUAUUAAGCACUGAUAAAACCCAAUGACUGGGACCACAGAUCUGUUGAGAGGUCACUAGUAGGGACCAAGAGUGGGAGGUCUGGAACAUCCUCAGCUUGAGAUGCAGUAGGUGUGGAAAGUCUGGGAGGAGGUAAAUAUUAAAGUAAUGGGAAACAGAACACUCCCAAGCCUUAAUUUUAAUUGGAUAGUUUAAAAAAUUGAAAUAGAAUCUAACAUUGGGUGCCAGUCACCACAAAUGCCAUGCCUUUAUGGUCACUUGGUAUCAUAAAAAAUUUGCCAAAGCAUGCCUGUCUGGCUAAUCAAAAGGUCUUGCUAGGAGGUGUUCGUGUGCAUGACAGAGUGCCAAGGGGCUUGGUACCACUGACUAUCCAACGUGAUUCCUAUGGAAACAGAAGCGGCAGAGUCUUGGUUAGCUGGC
rnacentral:lncRNA from 10 species